rnacentral:lncRNA from 1 species
CUCCAGAAUGUGCUUCGGAGACCGCAUAAUAUGUCCGAAGAAGCUUAGGGCACGAUUCCGGCAUAUUGAGGAGAGCCGCGUCGUGAUCUUGAGCUCUUUUAAUAUGGACUCAUUCGUACACGUAAAAAGCCUUAAAUUACCAAGUAGAGAAAGUCCGGCAUGAGGUGAGCACGAAGUUUUGAAGACAGGAGUGAUUGUAUUAGAUUUCCUCCUGAGCAGUUGCACUACAAAUUUAGUGAUGAAGAGGCAAUACUUGACAGAAACCUUAAGUGGGAUGACAUAAUUAUAAAGAAAAUCAAUAAGAGGAUGAACUCUUUUAAUGUUUAUAAAACAAUAGUAUGGAAGAAUUUUGAUGCAUCUUGGAGCAAUGGCAACAUAUUUGGGAGUUGUGAGUGACAACGAGCAGAUUACAUAACAAUGGGAGGAUAACAAGGGCCUUAACUGAAAAAACUGGUGAAUGUUCCCAAAUAAACCUCACAGAUGUAGAAGAAACACAAAAUAAAUUUGUUUAUUUAUUUUAUUUCUGUUCCCUACUAAACUAGUAAUAAAACAUACUUUUUACAAAUA